CACUGAUCACCCUGUGGUCCCCAAACCAGUGUGUAUAAAGCCAGAUUGGGGCCACAGCAUGAAGACUGGUAAGGAUGUCUGUGGGGUACAUCCUGCCUCUGUGGUGGAGACACGUGUCGGGUGGGAAUGGAUCUGGGCUGCUGGGGGCUUGCAGCGUCAGCGGUCAGGAGAUCAGCUGGCUGCAGGCACCGCUAGCUCUCUGUGGCCGCCUCACAGAGGAAUGGUCACCGCCGAUUCCUUGCUCAGCCACUCUCACCUGGGACCACAGAGGGCCGUGUAGUGGGAACCAGGUUGACCUUGCCCGGUCCAGAGCAAUGUUGUUACUUGUAUGUUUGUGUGCACGAUGAGUGUGUGUGUGUGUGUAACAGGUGUGGGGGUGUAGAAAGUCAUAUAAGAUUUGAAUGUCACUGUUACCUCCACAGAGAUCCCGAGUCCCGGAUAAGAGUUGGAGAACUGAAGAGUGCGGGGAUGUAGGCAAUUUCUGUGAUAAAAUCAAAGGUCAACCCCAAGGAGAUGCACAGUGGACCAAAUGCACACCAAUGUGGCAGGUCCAGAUGGUCCUAGUACAUGUGGAGUUGUAGGUCCUUCUGACUGUGCCGUGUGGGACGCCGCCUCAGCAUGGCCUGAUGAGUGGUGCCGUGUCCGCGCCCAGGAUCCGACCUGGCGAAACUCUGGGCCGUUGAAGUGGAAUGCACAAACUUAACCACCCAGCCAUGGGGGUUAAGGUCACCCCCUAGACCAUGUGUCUUAAUAAAAGUUGGUUGAAC
rnacentral:lncRNA from 1 species